AGAGGAUAAAGGGCAUGGGCUUUGGAGGCUCGGUCAUUUUGAUGAAGAAUCAGUAUUGAUGGUGCGGAGGAGUUGAGCUUGGGGUCUCUCUCUCAAUGAUGUUGGGUGUGACUAGAGGUGUGGUUCAUGGCAGCGUUUUGACAUCUUGGCGUGGGUCAGAAAUUAAGGCCUAUAAAGGUAAUGUCUCUCUCAGAGGAAGAAAAAAAUUAAGAAGCUGAUGAAUGAAUUCCUGAAUGUCAGGCACCUGUCAUCUGGAUUUUCUGCAAGUUUCAAGUUUGCCCCCUGAGAACUCACCCUGAAGAAGUUCCAGACACACCUGUUCUGGAAUGAACAAAAGACCUUGAAGUGUUUGGUGACCCCAGUUUGAGUGGGACUGCAAGGCAGAGUCAAGGUUGAGGACCUUAUUUCUCUUAGUAGCUUCUCCCUGGUAUUAGAGUCCUCUCUCAGGAAGCCCAGCUCUUGGUUUGACCUUUUCCUUUUAUAUUCAUUAUAACUGACCAUUCCCUGAUGCCCCAGCUGCUGGCUGCAGCCUGUCUAUGCAUGUCAGCUGUACAAGUUCUCCAGAGAGCAUAAAAGACCCCCAAGUUCUGUCACUCUUUGAAGAAUCAUCUAGCACAGUGCAUUCUCCCAGAGAUACAGUUUCCAGAGUCCCAGAGCCCUUGGCUUUGUGUGGUUUUUAGGCAACUGACUCUUCAUGGAGGCCAAAACAGAACACUUACCUGAUUAAAGACUUGGUUUUUACUGACUGCUUUGUUGUUCUGUGUUAUUUCCAAGUUAACACACCCAAUACCAUGUUCUACCUAUGGUAGGAGCUAAUUGACUGAAAGAGAUGAAGGCUAGGGAGGGCUAAUCAGUUUCAGGAUGACACAGGCAGGAAAAAUAAGCAGAUAGUUAGGUGGUACGGUGGGUUAAAGUGCUGGGCUUGGAAGAAGAGAAUGAGAUCCAAUCAGGCUCAGACACCAGUUGUGGAAACCUGCGUAAUCACCACUCAGGGCCUUAGGUUCCACAUCU